UGGUAUACAUCAUAUUCAUCGUAGUUCGCCUUUGGCGUUUCAGGAGAGUUAUAGUUUCGAUUUCAUGGUUGGAGGCAAAAAAUCCAAAAUGGUUUGAAUGGACUCCGUUUAUAAAGUUUAUCUGGGUUAUCCUUUUAAAUAUGCACAUGUGGGGGUGUAUAUAUUAUCUUAUUGCUUCAAUAGACCCUGAUGAAGGAAUGUCAUGGACUAGUGGAAAGAAAGAUUUCUUCAAGCAGACGUUCAAAACAAAAUAUGUGACCUCCACGUAUUUUGCAAUGACCAUAUAUUCAACAGUUGGUUUUGGAGAUUAUCAUGCCUGCAGUGUUGCAGAGAUGAUCACUUGUAUGAUCAACAUGAUAACAAAUACGGGGUUAAGUGCACAAGUGCUCGAACAGUUUAUAGAGUUGGUCAACGAAAGGAGAAGGCGCAAGAAGAAAUCUGUGAGUAAAACUUUUAUAAUUUUCACCAAUUUUUAGUUAAACUGCAAUUUAGUUCGUAGCUUCAUUAACAAUGUAGUGCAAGGGCCGGGAAUCGAACCUCAAAUUUCUCAUUUCUCCACACUUGUCGUGUGUAACUCUAACCAUUAGACUAUUUGACAAAAAAAAGUUGAGCAUAUGUAGUGUACAUGUCUACAUAGUUGUAGAACUGGAAAAUAAUUUUCUAAAUAUUGUUUCAAAUGGUUUUUUUGGCUUAAAUAUACUUUUGAUCUCUUAACUUUUAAAAAGUUAUGAAUUUUGCCCACUAUAAAAAAAAUAACGCGAGGCCAAAAUUACUUUUUUUUUUUUUUUUAAGAUAUGGGGUAAAAGAGCAUAUUUUCCUACAAACAGAGGGUUAAAAUUGCUUUUUUUUUUUACAACUUUUUGUAAAGUUAGGGGGCAAAAUUGUUUUUUUAAAGGGGCCAAAAUCACAACUUUUUAAAAAUUAAAGGGUAAAAAAUGUAUUAUAUCGUAAGUAGUUUAGAGACUUUUAAGUGUUAAUAUAGGCUCUAGAAAUUAGCUUGAUGUGCAAAUGACGGAUUUAUCAGAGCUCUCAAAGCUAGGAGGUUGACUCAAAGACUUCCUCCUCAAGUGUCCCGUUUAGGAAAGCAUUGUUUUGUCCAGUUUUUGUUGCCAACCUUUGGAGAGUGAAAGAGUCAAUAUAGUUGUGACAAUUACAUGGGUUGAAAACUGAUGAAAAAGCCUCGGUGUAAUCAUAACCAUACCUCUGAUGAAAACCCUUCAACUAUGUUGCAUUCUUUAAUAUAGAAUUAUAUUCAUCAUCCAUAGCAGAACCAAGUAGGGUGUGACAGGGCAUGAUUGAGGUGAGAUAUUGGAGCCACAUAAGAUGAGUUUCAAGGAGUGGUUGUUGGAUUGAUAGUGGCUACACAUAGCUUGAGAAUUCUAUAAGGUCAAGCUUUGUGGCAUAGGAGCAGAGUUUCAAUCUCCUCUGUGGAGUCAAAUUUGCCACUAAUGAGAGAAAUUGUGGACUCGCCUAUAGCAUUGAUUAGAGACUGAGUAUUUG